GUGCCAGCCGCCGCGGUAAGACGGAGGGUGCAAGCGUUAUUCGGAUUUAUUGGGCGUAAAGAGCAUGUAGGCGGUCGGUCAAGUCUGAUGUGAAAUCCCGGGGCUUAACCUCGGAAGGGCGUUGGAAACUGGUCGACUUGAGUUCGGGAGAGGAAAGCGGAAUUCCGGGUGUAGAGGUGAAAUUCGUAGAUAUCCGGAGGAACACCGGUGGCGAAGGCGGCUUUCUGGACCGAAACUGACGCUGAGAUGCGAAAGCGUGGGGAGCAAACAGGAUUAGAAACCCUCGUAGUCC
rnacentral:rRNA from 1 species